AUACAGGGGGUGCGAGCGUUAAUGGGAAUUACUGGGCGUAAAGAGUACGUAGGCGGUUGCUUAAGUCAGAUGUGAAAGCCCCGGGCUCAACCUGGGAACUGCAUUUGAAACUGAGUGACUAGAGUUUAAGAGAGGGGAGUAGAAUUCCGGGUGUAGCGGUGAAAUGCGUAGAGAUCCGGAGGAAUACCAGUGGCGAAGGCGGCUCCCUGGCUUAAAACUGACGCUGAGGUACGAAAGCGUGGGUAGCAAACAGGAUUAGAAACCCUAGUAGUCC
rnacentral:rRNA from 1 species